rnacentral:rRNA from 1 species
CGUGUAGGCGGUUAGGUAAGUGGGAUGUGAAAGCCCCCGGCUCACCCGGGGAUCUGCAUUCCAAACUGCCUGACUUGAGUAUGGGAGAGGAUAGGGGAAUUCCUGGUGUAGCGGUGAAAUGCGUAGAUAUCAGGAGGAACACCGGUGGCGAAGGCGCCUAUCUGGCCCAAUACUGACGCUGAGGCGCGAAAGCUAGGGGAGCAAACG